rnacentral:misc_RNA from 1 species
UCUAGAUAAUUUUGGAGAUAGUGUCGAUAUUAAGAUUUUGAUUAGAUGCAAAGCUUACAAGAACAAAUUAAUUUGUCUAUGCUGUAAUAUCCGAAGUAAUUUUAUUAUCAUAUAGAUACUGAUAACAAGGCAACUUUCACUUUCCAAUUCGAGCAGCAACGCAAAGGAACAAAUGAUCAUCAUCCCACAAGCACUCAUUAUCAAGCAAAG